AUGAAAAUCAACAAAUUGUUUGCAACACACACUUUCUUGUAUACCACGUACUUAUCCAUCAAGAACCUGGACGAAUGUUCAUUAGCACAAACUGUAAAAGUGAGCUGUCAAAAACACACACAGACGUUCAGUAGCAGUACGUGUAGCCAUCCAAGUACAGCCACAACAACAGCCAUCCAAGUACAACCACAGCAGCAGCCGUCGAGCAAACAAAGUGCAGUAGUAGCUCGCCUCCCAUACAGUGAGCACACACAGAUCGAACAAAAGAGGCUGGCAAGACCGGACUUCACAGGCGGCACGCCCACACCAUACACGCUGCACCCGCAUGAGCAAGAGGCGCCGCUGGGAUCCCACACGCCUCCUAUGCACCUACUCUGCUGUGUCAGCAUGCGUGGCCAUUUUCCUGGGGCUGGCGCUGCAGAGAACAUUCCUUGGCGAAGGUCAAGGUGGUCCUAG
rnacentral:rRNA from 1 species